rnacentral:rRNA from 1 species
AUUGAACGCUGGCGGCAGGCCUAACACAUGCAAGUCGAGCGAGCGGCGGACGGGUGAGUAAUGUAUGGGGACUGCCCGAUAGAGGGGGAUAACUACUGGAAACGGUGGCUAAUACCGCAUACUAUCGGAUAACCCAUAUGGGAUUAGCUGGUAGGUGGGGUAAAGGCUCACCUAGGCGACGAUCUCUAGCUGGUCUGAGAGGAUGAUCAGCCACACUGGUACGGGACCACGCACCUGACUCCUACGGAGGCAGCAAUAGGGAAUAUUGCACAAUGGGCGGAAGCCUGGUGCAGCCAUGGAGCGAGUAUGAAGAAGGCCUUAGGGUUGGAAAGUACUUUCAGCGGGGAGGCGGUACCCGCAGAAGAAGCACCGGCUAACUCCGUGCCAGCAGCCGCGGUAAUAC